GCAAGCGAGAAACGUUUGCCAUGGAGUCACCCUCCCACCUCGCACGUCGCAUCCCCAAAGAGACGUGGAAAACAGUCACGGCCCUGGAAUGGCUACCACAGCGUCCCCCUUCGAGAAUCAGAUCGUCAUCUUACCACCUUCAUCACGCCAUUUGGCCGUUGGCGCUACCUGAGAGCACCCCAGGGUUUCCUAUCAUCAGGGGAUGGAUACAAUCGCCGUUUUGAUGCCGUCCUGUCGGCCUUUGUGCGUAAGGAACGCUGCGUCGACGACACAAUCCACUACGACA